rnacentral:misc_RNA from 1 species
AAGUCGUAACAAGGUUGCUGUAGGGGAACCUGCGGCAGGAUCACAACAUAGAGGAUAAAGAGGGAAGCGCUUCUUCUCCCUGUCUCUUUGAGCGGGGAAGGGGGUGCAUCCCUACUUUUCUUAUACCCUGUGAUAUGUCAUGGACUAGCGAGGAGUGCAGCUUUUUUCCCUCGAAAGAGGGUUUUAAGAGAGGGGUUCUCAAUUCCAUCCGAUUUCUUUGAAGACUGGGGAGUUGGGGGCUUCUGGAGUGCUCCUCGCAGACAACCAAAUAAAAAACUCUUCGUGUGUUGCAGUAUCAAAAAACCAAAUAUAAAAACAACUUUUGACAAUGGAUCUCUUGGCUCCUA